rnacentral:rRNA from 1 species
GUUAAGCGACUAAGCGUACACGGUGGAUGCCCUGGCAGUCAGAGGCGAUGAAGGACGUGCUAAUCUGCGAUAAGCGUCGGUGAGGUGAUAUGAACCGUUAUAACCGGCGAUUUCCGAAUGGGGAAACCCAGUGUGUUUCGACACACUAUCAUUAACUGAAUCCAUAGGUUAAUGAGGCGAACCGGGGGAACUGAAACAUCUAAGUACCCCGAGGAAAAGAAAUCAACCGAGAUUCCCCCAGUAGCGGCGAGCGAACGGGGAGGAGCCCAGAGCCUGAAUCAGUGUGUGUGUUAGUGGAAGCGUCUGGAAAGGCGCGCGAUACAGGGUGACAGCCCCGUACACAAAAAUGCACACAUUGUGAGCUCGAUGAGUAGGGCGGGACACGUGGUAUCCUGUCUGAAUAUGGGGGGACCAUCCUCCAAGGCUAAAUACUCCUGACUGACCGAUAGUGAACCAGUACCGUGAGGGAAAGGCGAAAAGAACCCCGGCGAGGGGAGUGAAAAAGAACCUGAAACCGUGUACGUACAAGCAGUGGGAGCCUCUUAAUGGGGUGACUGCGUACCUUUUGUAUAAUGGGUCAGCGACUUAUAUUCUGUAGCAAGGUUAACCGAAUAGGGGAGCCGAAGGGAAACCGAGUCUUAACUGGGCGUUAAGUUGCAGGGUAUAGACCCGAAACCCGGUGAUCUAGCCAUGGGCAGGUUGAAGGUUGGGUAACACUAACUGGAGGACCGAACCGACUAAUGUUGAAAAAUUAGCGGAUGACUUGUGGCUGGGGGUGAAAGGCCAAUCAAACCGGGAGAUAGCUGGUUCUCCCCGAAAGCUAUUUAGGUAGCGCCUCGUGAAUUCAUCUCCGGGGGUAGAGCACUGUUUCGGCAAGGGGGUCAUCCCGACUUACCAACCCGAUGCAAACUGCGAAUACCGGAGAAUGUUAUCACGGGAGACACACGGCGGGUGCUAACGUCCGUCGUGAAGAGGGAAACAACCCAGACCGCCAGCUAAGGUCCCAAAGUCAUGGUUAAGUGGGAAACGAUGUGGGAAGGCCCAGACAGCCAGGAUGUUGGCUUAGAAGCAGCCAUCAUUUAAAGAAAGCGUAAUAGCUCACUGGUCGAGUCGGCCUGCGCGGAAGAUGUAACGGGGCUAAACCAUGCACCGAAGCUGCGGCAGCGACACUAUGUGUUGUUGGGUAGGGGAGCGUUCUGUAAGCCUGUGAAGGUGGCCUGUGAGGGUUGCUGGAGGUAUCAGAAGUGCGAAUGCUGACAUAAGUAACGAUAAAGCGGGUGAAAAGCCCGCUCGCCGGAAGACCAAGGGUUCCUGUCCAACGUUAAUCGGGGCAGGGUGAGUCGACCCCUAAGGCGAGGCCGAAAGGCGUAGUCGAUGGGAAACAGGUUAAUAUUCCUGUACUUGGUGUUACUGCGAAGGGGGGACGGAGAAGGCUAUGUUGGCCGGGCGACGGUUGUCCCGGUUUAAGCGUGUAGGCUGGUUUUCCAGGCAAAUCCGGAAAACC